rnacentral:snoRNA from 1 species
UGCAAGAGAUAUCUACACUCGGCAUUUUUUUCCUUUUGGGGUAUACAAAAGAUAGUACUACAGAAAUUCAGUGUCUGGCAUUGUUGGUUUUCUUGGCCUUGUGCAUGUUAAACCUGGUAUUUCUAUUAAUAGAGUA